UACAGAGGUCCCGAGCGUUGUUCGGAUUCAUUGGGCGUAAAGGGUGCGUAGGCGGCGGGGAAAGUCUGAUGUGAAAUCCUGGGGCUCAACCCUGGAACUGCAUUGGAUACUUCCUUGCUAGAGUACUGGAGAGGAAACUGGAAUUUACGGUGUAGCAGUGAAAUGCGUAGAGAUCGUAAGGAAGACCAGUGGCGAAGGCGAGUUUCUGGACAGUUACUGACGCUGAGGCACUAAGGCCAGGGGAGCAAACGGG
rnacentral:rRNA from 1 species